CACGUAGGCACCAAGCGUUGUCCGGAUUUAUUGGGCGUAAAGAGCUCGUAGGCGGUUCGGUAAGUCGGGUGUGAAAACUUUGGGCUCAACCCAAAGCCUGCACUCGAUACUGCUGUGACUUGAGUCCGGUAGGGGAGUGGGGAAUUCCUGGUGUAGCGGUGGGAAUGCGCAGAUAUCAGGAGGAACACCGGUGGCGAAGGCGCCACUCUGGGCCGGUACUGACGCUGAGGAGCGAAAGCGUGGGGAGCGAACAGG
rnacentral:rRNA from 1 species